GACGAACGCUGGCGGCGUGCUUAACACAUGCCAGUCGAACGGAAAGGCCCUGCUUUUGUGGGGUGCUCGAGUGGCGAACGGGUGAGUAACACGUGAGUAACCUGUCCUUGACUUUCGGAUAACUUCAGGAAACUGGGGCUCAUACCGCAUAGGAUCUCCUGCUGCAUGGUGGGGGUUGGAAAGUUUCGGCGGUUGGGGAUGGAAUCGCGGCUUAUCAGCUUGUUGGUGGGGUAGUUGCUUACCAAGCUUGUGACGGGUAGCCGGCCUGAGAGGGUGACCGGCCACAUUGGGACUGCGAGACGGCGCAGACUCCUACGGGAGGCAGCAGUGGGGAAUAUUGCACAAUGGGCGGAAGCCUGAUGCAGCAACGCCGCGUGCGGGAUGACGGCCUACGGGGUGUAAACCGCUUUCGCCGGUGACGAAGCGUGAGUGACGGUAAUGGGUAAAGAAGCACCGGCUAACUACGUG
rnacentral:rRNA from 1 species